GGGGGCGACUGGUUUCGACACGAUAGUUCUGAGAGAGGAAGCAAGUCGUGGUCUCCUCACCACGUUAAACAGGGGUACCGUCAAAUUGAAUUGACAAUAAUUCUUCUUAUGAGCCUCAACUGGCUCUCGCUGCCUAAGUUAUAGCGUAGCGCGUUAAACCGGGGAUUUCCCCGACUCCGGGGCAACGUCAUCUUAGGGGAAUGCGCCUUUGCACGUAAUCGGUAUGGCAAAGGCUAAGCUUGAACCGGUUAGGGUGCCUUGAGCGUGUUACUGCGCGCGAGACAUCUAAAUCUAAACCAGUAACUGAGCUUGGAGAUGCCAAUCAGGGAGCUGUCGUGGACCGGAGUUCGAUUCUCCGCGCCUCCACCA
rnacentral:tmRNA from 1 species